UUCUCAUUAGCACAGUGGUAGUUGCGUCGAGCUGUUACUUUAGAAAUUUGGCACUCGAAGGUCGUUGGUUCGACCCCAACAUGGGAAG